rnacentral:lncRNA from 1 species
UGGAAGUUCAUCAGCCAUCGAGAUAACCGCGUACCUUGCAUCAAUGCCAACCAAUGCCCGCACGUUAUCAUCACACACCUUGCAUCCAUGUCAACUGAUGCCCAUGUGCCACUUGAACAAAUUCAACUGCUCUGAAACCACCUUCAGGCCAUUGUUAGGCUCCAACAAUUCCAGUUUAGUUACAUCACCUAGUAAACCUUGUUUCACUAGUCCAACUAAACUCAUGUCACUAACAAGUACCCACCCGAAGAUCCACAACUUAACCAAAACAUGAGAAUCACCACUAGUAACAGAUGCAUAACCAAUAAUAGUAGAACUAUCUAACAAGUA